UCCCUGAUAGCUCAGAGGUUAAAACAUCUGCCUGCAGUGCAGGAGACCAGGAUUCGAUCCCUGGUUUGGGAA
rnacentral:tRNA from 1 species